AUACGGAGGAUCCGAGCGUUAUCCGGAUUUAUUGGGUUUAAAGGGAGCGUAGGCGGAGGAUCAAGUCAGCUGUGAAAUGUAGACGCUCAACGUCUGCACUGCAGUUGAAACUGGUCCCCUUGAGUGCGUAAGGGGCAGGCGGAAUUCGUCGUGUAGCGGUGAAAUGCUUAGAUAUGACGAAGAACUCCGAUCGCGAAGGCGGCUUGCGGGGCCGCAACUGACGCUGAAGCUCGAAGGUGCGGGUAUCGAACAGGAUUAGAUACCCUGGUAGUCCGCACAGUAAACGAUGGAUACUCGCUGUCGGCGAUAUACGGUCGGUGGCCAAGCGAAAGCGUUAAGUAUCCCACCUGGGGAGUACGCCGGCAACGGUGAAACUUAAAGGAAUUGACGGGG
rnacentral:rRNA from 1 species